AACGAACGCUGGCGGCAGGCCUAACACAUGCAAGUCGAGCGAGACCUUCGGGUCUAGCGGCGGACGGGUGAGUAACGCGUGGGAAUAUGCCCUUUUCUACGGAAUAGCCUCGGGAAACUGAGAGUAAUACCGUAUACGCCCUUCGGGGGAAAGAUUUAUCGGAGAAGGAUUAGCCCGCGUUGGAUUAGGUAGUUGGUGGGGUAAUGGCCUACCAAGCCUACGAUCCAUAGCUGGUUUGAGAGGAUGAUCAGCCACACUGGGACUGAGACACGGCCCAGACUCCUACGGGAGGCAGCAGUGGGGAAUCUUAGACAAUGGGGGAAACCCUGAUCUAGCCAUGCCGCGUGAGUGAUGAAGGCCUUAGGGUUGUAAAGCUCUUUCAGCUGGGAAGAUAAUGACGGUACCAGCAGAAGAAGCCCCGGCUAACUCCGUGCCAGCCGCCGCCGUAA
rnacentral:rRNA from 1 species